rnacentral:rRNA from 1 species
GGAGUUAGCCGGUGCUUCUUCUGCGAGUAACGUCACAGAUGUAAGGUAUUAACUUACACCCUUUCCUCCUCGCUGAAAGUGCUUUACAACCCGAAGGCCUUCUUCACACACGCGGCAUGGCUGCAUCAGGGUUUCCCCCAUUGUGCAAUAUUCCCCACUGCUGCCUCCCGUAGGAGUCUGGGCCGUGUCUCAGUCCCAGUGUGGCUGAUCAUCCUCUCAGACCAGCUAGGGAUCGUCGCCUAGGUGAGCCUUUACCUCACCUACUAGCUAAUCCCACCUGGGCUUAUCCAUCAGCGCAAGGCCCGAAGGUCCCCUGCUUUCCCCCGUAGGGCGUAUGCGGUAUUAGCAGUCGUUUCCAACUGUUAUCCCCCACAAAUGGGCAAAUUCCCAGGCAUUACUCACCCGUCGCCGCUCGUCAUCUUCAAAAGCAAGCUUUUGAAUGUACGCUCGACUUGCAUGUGUAGUCGUCGCCGCCGACGCGUCUACUACUCGAGACGACGACGUACAACUACUACGACGUACGAGGCGGGCGUCGGCGACGGACGCGACGUAG